rnacentral:pre_miRNA from 1 species
UUAAUGGGAUAUUGGUGAUAUUUCUUCGGAUUCAGACAAUGAUUUGGUGAUCAGUCAAAUCAUUGUCUGAAUCCGAAGAAAUAUCACCAACAUCC